UGAGGAGGUAAAAUUUACUUAAGAGCUGGUCAAUCGGUAGUGCAUGCUCAUGAUAAGCCUUGUUUGUUCUUCUAUAUCUUUUUUUCAACAAUGUUGCCAACGGUGCAGAAAAGUUGCUCAAUUCAAAUGUUAUAAAAUAGAAUUACAGGUAUAUUACGGUUAGAGAGGAAUCUUAACAUUGUUUAAGAAGAAAGAAAAA